rnacentral:misc_RNA from 1 species
GCUAUGUGUUAUCAGUGGUGGAAAAGAAAAACAUAUAUCAUUUGGAGUCAUUGAGCUUAGAUAGUAAGUAGAGGCAACCAGAGCAAAGUAGAACAGAAGCUGAGAAGCAAAGUAAAUCCAUGGGAGAGUGCAUAACUGCUGUCUUACUUUUUUCAAAGAAACCAAUCAGAAGAAGCAUGACAAUGACAUGUCCCAGCUUGGUUUUCAGCUCAUUCACAGUUUUUACUUCUAACCAUUUCGGUCGUUCCUUCAAGGUGAAUAAUCCAAAUAAACUUGAUCUAUGAGGCACGCUUUGCCCUGACAACGACUUUGCA